rnacentral:rRNA from 1 species
GAAUGCUGACAUAAGUAACGAUAAAGCGGGUGAAAAGCCCGCUCGCCGGAAGACCAAGGGUUCCUGUCCAACGUUAAUCGGGGCAGGGUGAGUCGACCCCUAAGGCGAGGCCGAAAGGCGUAGUCGAUGGGAAACGGGUUAAUAUUCCCGUACUUGGUGUUACUGCGAAGGGGGGACGGAGAAGGCUAUGUUGGCCGGGCGACGGUUGUCCCGGUUUAAGCGUGUAGGUGUGUGUUCCAGGUAAAUCCGGUUCACUUUAACACUGAGGCGUGAUGACGAGGCACUACGGUGCUGAAGCAACAAAUGCCCUGCUUCCAGGAAAAGCCUCUAAGCAUCAGGUAACAUCAAAUCGUACCCCAAACCGACACAGGUGGUCAGGUAGAGAAUACCAAGGCGCUUGAGAGAACUCGGGUGAAGGAACUAGGCAAAAUGGUGCCGUAACUUCGGGAGAAGGCACGCUGACAUGUAGGUGAAGUGAUUUACUCAUGGAGCUGAAGUCAGUCGAAGAUACCAGCUGGCUGCAACUGUUUAUUAAAAACACAGCACUGUGCAAACACGAAAGUGGACGUAUACGGUGUGACGCCUGCCCGGUGCCGGAAGGUUAAUUGAUGGGGUCAGCGCAAGCGAAGCUCCUGAUCGAAGCCCCGGUAAACGGCGGCCGUAACUAUAACGGUCCUAAGGUAGCGAAAUUCCUUGUCGGGUAAGUUCCGACCUGCACGAAUGGCGUAAUGAUGGCCAGGCUGUCUCCACCCGAGACUCAGUGAAAUUGAACUCGCUGUGAAGAUGCAGUGUACCCGCGGCAAGACGGAAAGACCCCGUGAACCUUUACUAUAGCUUGACACUGAACAUUGAGCCUUGAUGUGUAGGAUAGGUGGGAGGCUUUGAAGUGUGGACGCCAGUCUGCAUGGAGCCGACCUUGAAAUACCACCCUUUAAUGUUUGAUGUUCUAACGUGGACCCGUAAUCCGGGUUGCGGACAGUGUCUGGUGGGUAGUUUGACUGGGGCGGUCUCCUCCUAAAGAGUAACGGAGGAGCACGAAGGUUGGCUAAUCCUGGUCGGACAUCAGGAGGUUAGUGCAAUGGCAUAAGCCAGCUUGACUGCGAGCGUGACGGCGCGAGCAGGUGCGAAAGCAGGUCAUAGUGAUCCGGUGGUUCUGAAUGGAAGGGCCAUCGCUCAACGGAUAAAAGGUACUCCGGGGAUAACAGGCUGAUACCGCCCAAGAGUUCAUAUCGACGGCGGUGUUUGGCACCUCGAUGUCGGCUCAUCACAUCCUGGGGCUGAAGUAGGUCCCAAGGGUAUGGCUGUUCGCCAUUUAAAGUGGUACGCGAGCUGGGUUUAGAACGUCGUGAGACAGUUCGGUCCCUAUCUGCCGUGGGCGCUGGAGAACUGAGGGGGGCUGCUCCUAGUACGAGAGGACCGGAGUGGACGCAUCACUGGUGUUCGGGUUGUCAUGCCAAUGGCACUGCCCGGUAGCUAAAUGCGGAAGAGAUAAGUGCUGAAAGCAUCUAAGCACGAAACUUGCCCCGAGAUGAGUUCUCCCUGAGACUUUAGGU